ensembl:lncRNA
GAAGCAGGUUACAUAGUAGUUACUGUCCAUGUGCAAAACAAGUAUUUAUUAGGCACUGAUUCUACACUAGGAACUGUGCUAGGGACACAAGACCCAAUUCCUGCCAUCAUCUAGCGUAUCGUCUGGAAGGGAACACAAUGACACAAGCAAUCGUGACAGAGUAAACCUGUGUUCUAUGAGGAGUCUGGUGGCAGCGUGUGGUGAGAGCCGUGGUGGAGGCCAAAAACAAAAUAACAGCCUGCUCCAUUCAGGUUCAGGACCUCAUUUGCCUGUGCUCUGCUUUCCUGAGAGCCCAGAGUGACUGAUUGCAGACCCUGGACUUCUGCAGGAUUAAACUAACAGCAGGUCCUCGGAAGAUGGCAGCAGUAUUCAAAUGGGAUAACAUUCCUCAAAGACCCUGGAAAAUAACUGAUGUAUCUCUGGAUGCUGAGAAAUAAUCCUCAGAGAUUAAAGCAGCAUCUGUGACCAAAC